CCUUGGCUCAGAAAGCAGUCAUACACUUGAAAUGACUUGGGGUCCACUUGCAACGCUGAAAAGCAAGGUGGAUAAGCAGCGAGGUAGACUCUGAUUUAGGUCACGUAAAUCAGACACUGACACCAAGCUGCGUCGGAGCUCCACGGAAGACAGGAAGGCAGCUGUGUGCCACUGGAGUAGACAGUCACCGUGGACGCAGACAGACCCAAGUGCUACAGGAAGCUUCCUAGGUGCUGGGCAGGAGGAGCCUGGCCCUGAACAAUGGCCACCUUAACCCAGGAAGUGUGCCUUCGGCGUGACUAUGUGGAUCCACAUUAUUGUGCAACCAUCGCCGUCAUCCAUUUCCGGAACUUUUCAUAACCCAGCUGAAACAGUCUCUAUGAAGCACCGACUCCCCUCCUCCUGCUCCCAGACCCCACGGCCACAUCCGACUUUCUGUCUCCGACAA